CAUGGUGAUAUGUAUACAGGUUGUAACUAGGGAGAGAGAGGAGAGACAUGGUGAUAUGUAUACAGGUUGUAACUAGGGAGAGAGAGAGGAGAGACAUGGUGAUAUGUAUACAGGUUGUAACUAGGGAGAGAGAGAGGAGAGACAUGGUGAUAUGUAUACAGGUUGUAACUAGGGAGAGAGAGAGGAGAGACAUGGUGAUAUGUAUACAGGUUGUAACUAGGGAGAGAGAGAGGAGAGACAUGGUGAUAUGUAUACAGGUUGUAACUAGGGAGAGAGAGGAGAGACAUGGUGAUAUGUAUACAGGUUGUAACUAGGGAGAGAGAGGAGAGACAUGGUGAUAUGUAUACAGGUUGUAACUAGGGAGAGAGAGGAGAGACAUGGUGAUAUGUAUACAGGUUGUAACUAGGGAGAGAGAGGAGAGACAUGGUGAUAUGUAUACAGGUUGUAACUAGGGAGAGAGAGGAGAGACAUGGUGAUAUGUAUACAGGUUGUAACUAGGGAGAGAGAGGAGAGACAUGGUGAUAUGUAUACAGGUUGUAACUAGGGAGAGAGAGGAGAGAGACAUGGUGAUAUGUAUACAGGUUGUAACUAGGGAGAGAGAGGAGAGAGACAUGGUGAUAUGUAUACAGGUUGUAACUAGGGAGAGAGAGGAGAGACAUGGUGAUAUGUAUACAGGUUGUAACUAGGGAGAGAGAGAGGAGAGACAUGGUGAUAUGUAUACAGGUUGUAACUAGGGAGAGAGAGAGGAGAGACAUGGUGAUAUGUAUACAGGUUGUAACUAGGGAGAGAGAGGAGAGACAUGGUGAUAUGUAUACAGGUUGUAACUAGGGAGAGAGAGGAGAGACAUGGUGAUAUGUAUACAGGUUGUAACUAGGGAGAGAGAGGAGAGACAUGGUGAUAUGUAUACAGGUUGUAACUAGGGAGAGAGAGGAGAGACAUGGUGAUAUGUAUACAGGUUGUAACUAGGGAGAGAGAGGAGAGACAUGGUGAUAUGUAUACAGGUUGUAACUAGGGAGAGAGAGGAGAGACAUGGUGAUAUGUAUACAGGUUGUAACUAGGGAGAGAGAGGAGAGACAUGGUGAUAUGUAUACAGGUUGUAACUAGGGAGAGAGAGGAGAGACAUGGUGAUAUGUAUACAGGUUGUAACUAGGGAGAGAGAGGAGAGACAUGGUGAUAUGUAUACAGGUUGUAACUAGGGAGAGAGAGGAGAGACAUGGUGAUAUGUAUACAGGUUGUAACUAGGGAGAGAGAGAGGAGAGACAUGGUGAUAUGUAUACAGGUUGUAACUAAGGAGAGAGAGGAGAGACAUGGUGAUAUGUAUACAGGUUGUAACUAGGGAGAGAGAGAGGAGGAGAGAGACAUGGUUAUCAUAUGUACAGUAGAAAGUAUUCAGACACCUUGACUUUCUCCACAUCGUUACGUUUCAGCCUUAUUCUAAAAUGUAUUAACUCGUCCCCCCCUCAAUUUACACACAUAUCCCAUCAUGAAAAAGCAAAACCAGAUUUAGAAACGU